rnacentral:rRNA from 1 species
AGCGAACGCUGGCGGCAGGCCUAACACAUGCAAGUCGAGCGCCCGUAGCAAUACGGGAGCGGCAGACGGGUGAGUAACACGUGGGAACGUACCCUUCGGUUCGGAAUAACCCAGGGAAACUUGGAUUAAUACCGGAUACGUCCGUAAGGAGAAAGAUUUAUCGCCGAAGGAUCGGCCCGCGUCCGAUUAGCUUGUUGGUGGGGUAAUGGCCCACCAAGGCUACGAUCGGUAGCUGGUCUGAGAGGAUGAUCAGCCACACUGGGACUGAGACACGGCCCAGACUCCUACGGGAGGCAGCAGUGGGGAAUAUUGGACAAUGGGCGCAGGCCUGAUCCAGCCAUGCCGCGUGGGUGAUGAAGGCCCUAGGGUUGUAAAGCCCUCUCGGCGGGGAAGAUAAUGACGGUACCCGCAGAAGAAGCCCCGGCUAACUUCGUGCCAGCCGCCGCCGUAAUAC